CUGAACUCCCUGCUCAUAGUAGUGGCCAAGUAAUUCGGUGCAUUUCACUAAAUCUACUCCUGGGUUUAACACCCUCCUUUAGGAUUAAUGAGGAGAGAAUUUGGGACUGAUUAGCAGGCUUCAUGGUUYUCGUGCCCCCUUCUCCCCCUUUAAGAGGGAACUUGACUUUCAAUGACUGAUACAACACAGGCGAAAAAAGGAACAUGCCCAUAGCACACUGGCAACCACGCACAGUUAACAGUGGGAAAUGUAGUUGAGUUUUUCUUGUAAGAACUCAGACUGAAAAUACCUGAGGCUUUGUGGGCUGUUGGUCUCAGUUGCAUAUYCUUUUAAAAAGAAAACAAACCUUUUCAGAAGGUAAGAAUCCCUCAUUGGCCUAUUGCAUGGACUAGCCCAAGCCCUGAUAUAAAUGCCAGAGAAUAUGUCUGAAUAACAGUCAUUUCCUUCUCUAUAUCUAUCUAUCUUUGUGCUAAAUACUAAGGAUGUGAUACUUAAUUGUGGUCACUUCCGGGUAACAGGAAGAUGUUACCGGGUAACAUGAAAAUAUAAAUACACUUUGUAAACCAUAAAGCACAUUAAAACUUCUUARUGUUGAAUGAAUGUGUAUUACUUAGUAAAUGCAUUCUACUGGUCUAUGUGCUAUGGAUACAAUAUGGAUACAAAGACUGCUGUAGGAAUAAARAGUAAAACAUGCUGUGUAAAAAAUAUAUAAACAUAAUAUGGCUUGAAUGAAAAAUAAUCCAUAUACUUAAGGCCAAUGUGUUUUUACUGCUUUGGUGAUUUUCAGUAAAAUACAUUAUACCAGGUAGCAGAAACGAAAACACAUG
rnacentral:sRNA from 1 species